AAAAAUAAGUGUGGCCCAAGGAAUUCUGAGAAAAUACAACUGAAGGGACAGCUACCAUGGCCAGGCCCAGCUACUCCAUUAAAGAACAGCCUGCUCUAGCUGGCCUCAGUUAGUCCCUGUUGUGUAUUUGGGAAAGCGAGGGGACUUGUGGGUCCCCACUGCUCAGUUAUUCACGUGGCCAGUACUUCUCCAUGUCAUGUGUUUCUCUCUGCACGGUUGUGGGACACUGUUCGCUUUGUUUUCAGUUGUGACUUGGAUUCCGAGAGGGUGAACCCUCUCACAGUCAUUGUGAUACCACUGCAUGAAAAGGAAGUGAGGGAGUUAUGUGUAAAUAAGAAGUUAGUCCCACUUCUAAUGGACCCUAGAAACCUGUUCUGUCACCACCAUUCAAAGUUAUGUGGACAAAUCAAGGAAAUGACGGUACACUAGGGAAGAUUUAAAAACCGUCUCCUAAUUAUUACUUCUUUAUUCAUCCAAAAGAAUAGUGCCCAAGAAGUUAAAUGUGUGUGUGUUCUUCCUGUUAUUAAUCAAAAUAGUCUGUUAAGAAAAAUAGCUUGCUAAGAGGAUUUUCCAAGACCAUAGGACAUUAAAUUUCUAAACUCAUUGUAUGAAGAGUUCAUUUCAAAAUUAAAGUUUUAAAUAAUUUUCUCCCAGAAGUAGGUUUUUAAAAGCAUAGUUUUGGAAAUGGUAGAAAAGUAUGUUAAAACAAUUUAAGUAUGCCACUUUCAUUUCUGUGGCCCCCAAAUUAAUAUAACACCAUCAUUGUCAACUGAAAUAGGAGGCAUUUAAGGGGCAGAGCAGAGGGCCAUAGUUUAAGUGAUUUGAAGUUACCUUAAUAUGAUUUUAAGCUCCCGGAAUAGGGAGAGAUUUGGAACUUAAGGAUAUAUAGGGAUAUAUUAACCUUUUCUCAGAGGUUAUAUAGCAGAUAAGAAGAGCUCUAAAAAAAUUUCUGGGUCUAAUGCAGUGCGUUUAGACAAAUGCUACCUCCAAAAAAGGCAUAUGGAUGAAUAGAUUGGCCAGGAAAUUAAGGUUGAAAAUGAACACUUUUGGAAAUGAUGAGUUUGGAAAACAAAUGUAUUUUCAGAGAUGUGGAGUGGAAGAAAAAGGGAAAGAGGAUACGAUUUAUGAAGAUUUUGUGACCUGGUUCUAAACAAGGUGGACUAGUCAUGGUGAUUUGGCCUUCAGAUAGAUACUAUCAUACCAUGAUUUAUAGCCGGUGGUGUGGUUUACUCGCUAAGUUGAGACCCCAUGGACAGUAGCCCACCAGGCUCCUCUGUCCAAGGAAUUCUCCAGGCAAGAAUACUGGAGUGGAUUGCCAGUUCCUUCUCCAGGGGAUCUUCCCGACCCAGGGAUCAAACCUGGGUCUCCUGCACUGCGGGCAGAUUCUUUACCAACUGAGCUACCAGGGAAUUCCCCUGGGAGUGGGUAAAGGAUGCUAUUUGCAUUGACCGUACUACAGUCUUAUUUCAUCAGAAUUUAGAUCUUUAAAAUAAAUGGAAGACAUUUGAUGACA
ensembl:lncRNA